AAUCCAUACAUAGGACACUUCCGCAACAAUUCCUUAAAUCUUUCCCAUGCUUCAAAAAAGCUUUCAUCCUCCAUUUCUUGAAUGAAGUUAGAUUAUUUCGAAGUUU